UGGGGUGUAGCCAAGCGGUAAGGCAACGGACUCUGACUCCGUCAUGCGUAGGUUCGAAUCCUACCACCCCAGCCA
rnacentral:tRNA from 2 species